rnacentral:misc_RNA from 1 species
UUGCUCAUCUCACCAGAAGCGAAGCCGGAGGAGGGAGGAAGGAGAUCACGAGCAGCCAGAGCCGGAGGCCGAGAGGAUGAAGACGUUCGACCCGUGGCCGGUCUUCUUCCACCGGGAGUGGAAGCGCAACUGUCCCUUCCUCACGGGGUUCACCAUCACCGGCUUCAUCAUCACCAAGAUGACAGCCAACUUCACCGAGGAGGACCUCAAGAACUCCAAGUUCGUCCAGUAACACAAGAAGCGCUGACCAACCGGAAACAUUUUUAG